rfam:Parcubacteria bacterium GW2011_GWA2_46_10 TX29_C0009, whole genome shotgun sequence.
UUUCAGGAGGAUUUGAUCCUGGUCCAGGAUGAACGCUGGCGGCGUGGAUUAGGCAUGCAAGUCGAGCGCCUGACUUUCAUUGACCAAGCCAAUUUGGUAAGGUCGCCGAAAGUCGGGAGCGGCAAACGAGUUAGUAACACCUUGGAACCUACCCUGUACACGGGAAUAAGCCAUCGAAAGAUGGUCUAAUGCCCGAUAGUCUCGCAAGAGUAAAGCUCCGGCGGUACAGGAGGGGCCUAGGCCCGAUCAGCUUGUUGGUGAGGUAAUAGCUCACCAAGGCUACGACCGGUAGGGGAGGUGAGAGCCUGACCCCCAACGACGGAACUGAGAUACGGUCCGUACACCUACGGGU